GUGAAAAUAAACUCAAGAACUCAUUCAUCUUUCACUUACAAGUGUCUACCCUUUAAUAACAUCUCCUCAGUACCUCCUCCCUCAUCCCAGCCUCUGGAAUAUCCCAGACAACAGGAUGGAUGAAUGCAAAUGAGACCAAAUGCAGACAGACUGCAAAGAAACUGAGAGAAUCCACUUCCUGGAACAGCACCUUAAUGCAGUAUUUCUGUGUCAGUGAUAAUCCAGAUUUUCAAAAGGCUAAG